rnacentral:rRNA from 1 species
UACAGAGGUGGCAAGCGUUGUUCGGAAUUACUGGGCGUAAAGGGCGCGUAGGCGGCCAUCUAAGUCAGACGUGAAAUCCCCCGGCUUAACCUGGGAACUGCGUCUGAUACUGGAAGGCUUGAGUAUGGGAGAGGGAUGUAGAAUUCCAGGUGUAGCGGUGAAAUGCGUAGAUAUCUGGAGGAAUACCGGUGGCUAAGGCGGCAUCCUGGACCAUUACUGACGCUGAGGCGCGCAAGCUAGGGGAGCAAACAGG